CAGAAAAUAGUUUAAGUAAAAUUUUAAUUUUGGAGAUUAAGGAUAGAGGUUUAUCUUUUUCUGA
rnacentral:tRNA from 1 species